ACAUUGCAAGUCGAACGAUGAAGCAACCAGCUUGCUGGGUGUGGAUUAGUGGCGAAACGGGUGAAGUAACACGUGAGUAACCCUGCCCCUUCACUCUGGGAUAAAGCCUGGGAAAACUGGGUCUAAUACUGGAUACGACCGAUCUCCGCAUGGAGUGUUUGGUGGAAAGUUUUUGUGGUGGGGGGAUGGACUCGCGGCCUAUCAGCUUGUUGGUGGGGUAAUGGCCUACCAAGGCGACGACGGGUAGCCGGCCUGAGAGGGCGACCGGCCACACUGGGACUGAGACACGGCCCAGACUCCUACGGGAGGCAGCAGUGGGGAAUAUUGCACAAUGGGCGAAAGCCUGAUGCAGCGACGCCGCGUGAGGGAUGACGGCCUUCGGGUUGUAAACCUCUUUCACCAGGGACGAAGCUAACGUGACGGUACCUGGAGAAGAAGCACCGGCUAACUACGUGCCAGCAGCCGCGGUAAUACGUAGGGUGCGAGCGUUGUCCGGAAUUAUUGGGCGUAAAGAGCUUGUAGGCGGUUUGUCGCGUCUGCUGUGAAAGACCGGGGCUUAACUCCGGUUCUGCAGUGGGUACGGGCAGACUAGAGUGUGGUAGGGGAGACUGGAAUUCCUGGUGUAGCGGUGAAAUGCGCAGAUAUCAGGAGGAACACCGAUGGCGAAGGCAGGUCUCUGGGCCAUUACUGACGCUGAGAAGCGAAAGCAUGGGGAGCGAACAGGAUUAGAUACCCUGGUAGUCCAUGCCGUAAACGUUGGGCGCUAGGUGUGGGACUCAUUCCACGAGUUCCGUGCUGCAGCUAACGCAUUAAGCGCCCCGCCUGGGGAGUACGGCCGCAAGGCUAAAACUCAAAGGAAUUGACGGGGGCCCGCACAAGCGGCGGAGCAUGCGGAUUAAUUCGAUGCAACGCGAAGAACCUUACCAAGGCUUGACAUACACCGGAAUCAUGCAGAGAUGUGUGCGUCUUCGGACUGGUGUACAGGUGGUGCAUGGUUGUCGUCAGCUCGUGUCGUGAGAUGUUGGGUUAAGUCCCGCAACGAGCGCAACCCUCGUUCCAUGUUGCCAGCACUUCGGGUGGGGACUCAUGGGAGACUGCCGGGGUCAACUCGGAGGAAGGUGGGGAUGACGUCAAAUCAUCAUGCCCCUUAUGUCUUGGGCUUCACGCAUGCUACAAUGGCCGGUACAGAGGGUUGCGAAACGUCAG
rnacentral:rRNA from 1 species